GUGUGACCCUAUCAGAUUAUUCAGCCUAUUCAGAUUAUUGCUUUAAAACGGCCCAGGAAGUUUGCAAUUAUAAACAAAAUCCUGAGGAAGAAACUCAUGAAGAUAUGUGUCUGCACUACGUUUAUUGGACGAAAUGUUUGAAGGGUUUAAAUAUGCAAUGUUCUAAACACUUCGACGCCAAAUUUGAUUCGCAUUGCAACAUAAAAAACUACGUGAUGCACAGCCCCAGAAAAUAAUAUCACAAAGGACGCUUCCUAGAACUUAUUCCAAAGUGAAGCCCUGACAUCACUGAUUAUUUAAAUAUAACUUCUACAAAUAAAGAUGUAUGCUACCACCACAA